rnacentral:rRNA from 1 species
GGGGAGCCGAAGGGAAACCGAGUCUUAACUGGGCGUUAAGUUGCAGGGUAUAGACCCGAAACCCGGUGAUCUAGCCAUGGGCAGGUUGAAGGUUGGGUAACACUAACUGGAGGACCGAACCGACUAAUGUUGAAAAAUUAGCGGAUGACUUGUGGCUGGGGGUGAAAGGCCAAUCAAACCGGGAGAUAGCUGGUUCUCCCCGAAAGCUAUUUAGGUAGCGCCUCGUGAAUUCAUCUCCGGGGGUAGAGCACUGUUUCGGCAAGGGGGUCAUCCCGACUUACCAACCCGAUGCAAACUGCGAAUACCGGAGAAUGUUAUCACGGGAGACACACGGCGGGUGCUAACGUCCGUCGUGAAGAGGGAAACAACCCAGACCGCCAGCUAAGGUCCCAAAGUCAUGGUUAAGUGGGAAACGAUGUGGGAAGGCCCAGACAGCCAGGAUGUUGGCUUAGAAGCAGCCAUCAUUUAAAGAAAGCGUAAUAGCUCACUGGUCGAGUCGGCCUGCGCGGAAGAUGUAACGGGGCUAAACCAUGCACCGAAGCUGCGGCAGCGACGCUGAUGCGUUGUUGGGUAGGGGAGCGUUCUGUAAGCCUGCGAAGGUGUGCUGUGAGGCAUGCUGGAGGUAUCAGAAGUGCGAAUGCUGACAUAAGUAACGAUAAAGCGGGUGAAAAGCCCGCUCGCCGGAAGACCAAGGGUUCCUGUCCAACGUUAAUCGGGGCAGGGUGAGUCGACCCCUAAGGCGAGGCCGAAAGGCGUAGUCGAUGGGAAACAGGUUAAUAUUCCUGUGCUUGGUGUUACUGCGAAGGGGGGACGGAGAAGGCUAUGUUGGCCGGGCGACGGUUGUCCCGGUUUAAGCGUGUAGGCUGGUUUUCCAGGCAAAUCCGGAAAAUCAAGGCUGAGGCGUGAUGACGAGGCACUACGGUGCUGAAGCAACAAAUGCCCUGCUUCCAGGAAAAGCCUCUAAGCAUCAGGUAACAUCAAAUCGUACCCCAAACCGACACAGGUGGUCAGGUAGAGAAUACCAAGGCGCUUGAGAGAACUCGGGUGAAGGAACUAGGCAAAAUGGUGCCGUAACUUCGGGAGAAGGCACGCUGAUAUGUAGGUGAAGUCCCUCGCGGAUGGAGCUGAAAUCAGUCGAAGAUACCAGCUGGCUGCAACUGUUUAUUAAAAACACAGCACUGUGCAAACACGAAAGUGGACGUAUACGGUGUGACGCCUGCCCGGUGCCGGAAGGUUAAUUGAUGGGGUCAGCGCAAGCGAAGCUCUUGAUCGAAGCCCCGGUAAACGGCGGCCGUAACUAUAACGGUCCUAAGGUAGCGAAAUUCCUUGUCGGGUAAGUUCCGACCUGCACGAAUGGCGUAAUGAUGGCCAGGCUGUCUCCACCCGAGACUCAGUGAAAUUGAACU